GGCCCAUUAGCUCAGUUGGUUAGAGCGUGGUGCUAAUAACGCCAAGGUCGCAGAGACCUGCAUGGGCCA
rnacentral:tRNA from 1 species